rnacentral:lncRNA from 1 species
UCUUGCUCUGUUGCCUACGCUGGAGUGCAGUGGCGUGAUUUCGGCUCACUACAACCUUCGCCUCCUGGGUUCAAGCGAUUCUCCUGCCUCAGCCUCCAGGAGAGCUCGGAUUACAGGUGCCCAUCACCACUCCCGGCUAAUUUUUGUAUUUUUAGUAGAGAUAGGGUUUCACCAUGUUGGCCAGGCUGGUCUCGAACUCCUGACCUCAGGUGAUCUGCCCGCCUCUGCCUCCCAAAGUGCUGGGAUUACAGGCAUAAGCCACCAUUACCCCGCCCAUUUAAAGUAUUCUUUUCAGGCUGGGCACUGUGGCUUAUACCUGUAAUCCCAGCAUGCUUUGGGAGACUAAGGUGAGAAGAUUGCUUCAGCCCAGGAGAUCAAGGUUACAGUGAGUUAUGAUCUGGACAACAGAGCCAGACCCUGUCUCUAAAUAAAUAAAUAAAUAAAUACUUUCCUAUAUCUGAGUCUAUUCUUUAGUUGCUCAAUGAACACAUUAAAGCUGAGCUUCUCAGCUUUGGCACUGUUGAUGUUUUUGAUAAUUCUUUGGGAGGGUGAGGGGUUGCCCUAGCAGCAUCCCUGCCCUGUGCCCAUGAGAUGAUGACAGAAGUACCCCCUGCCCAGCUGUUACAACCAACACUGUAUCCAGAUGUCUCCUGGGGAACAAAAUUGCCCCAGCUGAAAACUACUGAGGUAAAGGCAACUGGUAUGAAAAUCUGCCUAUGGCGUGGAGGCCCCAGCUUUAAAGUUUAUUUGGAUCACUGUAGUAGUCAGUAGCAACAUUAAAACCAUCCCAUUCAAAUCCAAAUACUCAACCGAGAUCAGGAAACCCAGCAAAAUAUGGUGCUGGUGUCAAUGUGUGAUGAGCCCCGCAGUGAUGAGUGUGCAGCCGUCAGCAGUGUGCCAAGGUCCCGCACAGUCCGACAACUCUUUUAAAUGUCCCUAAUAUUUAUAAAUGUAUGAAGUGACAGGAUUGACAUUAGCAAGAUUAAUAUGUUGCUAAUUGACAUUAGCAAGAUAUGGAAGGAGGGGUUCCCAUAUGUGUUUACGUCUUGUUAAAAUCACACAGCUUUAGUAAUCUGCUAAUCAUAAUAGCCCAGUCACUCAAGAAAACUCUAACCACCCCCUUUUUGGACAACGGGAAGAGGGGUGUGGGCUGGUGGUAGCAAACUGGCAAAACAAUGAUAUUUUUAUCUCUGAUCUCUUUAAAGAAAUAAUCCAAAUACAAAAUAAUAAAGAGUCCAUCUAAUUCACAAAUCCAGAAUGUUCUGCAUAAAGUAAGUCCAAGUAUCUAAAAGAUCCAAGAUGACGUCUGUGCUCCAGGAAGAAAGGUGCCAGCUUCAACACCCUGGCUGACCUUUGGUGUGUUAGUCAGCCUGCGACCGCCCCAGAAACCACCCAGAGGUGACCAGCUACAGCCAGCUCACCAGCGGCCGACACCAGAGUCAACAGCAGCACCGGAUGUGGAAUGGACAAACCCCAGACCCAGCACACGACCCUGGUGCCUCUCUUACAGAGCAGAGAAAUGCUAUAACGUAUCAU